GGGUAGGGCCAUCUGGCUGUGACACAUGUCACCCCAUUGAUCGCCAGGGUUGAUUCGGUUGAUCCGGCUGACCAGGCAGGUGUCCCCUUCCUCCCUCACCGCUCCAUAUGCAUCCCUCCUGAAGCUGUGUACUCGGUAGAAGUGGAUGACCUUCCCUGAUACAGGAGGACCGUUCUUUGGUAAGGGUAGAUGUGUUCACCUGCUGGAACCCCCAAACAAGCUGCCAAGGUCCAUUUGUAGGAGAACAUAGGGGAGCCAAGCUUCCAAGAUUCUAGACACAGCCAAAUGAGGUGCUGCAUCUGGCGGCCUGCCUUUCU
ensembl:misc_RNA 7SK 7SK RNA